rnacentral:rRNA from 1 species
AACGAACGCUGGCGGCAGGCCUAACACAUGCAAGUCGAGCGCCCGCAAGGGGAGCGGCGGACGGGUGAGUAACGCGUGGGAACGUACCCUUUGCUACGGAAUAGCCUCGGGAAACUGGGAGUAAUACCGUAUGUGCCCUUCGGGGGAAAGAUUUAUCGACAAAGGAUCGGCCCGCGUUGGAUUAGGUAGUUGGUGGGGUAAUGGCCUACCGAGCCGACGAUCCAUAGCUGGUUUGAGAGGAUGAUCAGCCACACUGGGACUGAGACACGGCCCAGACUCCUACGGGAGGCAGCAGUGGGGAAUCUUAGACAAUGGGCGCAAGCCUGAUCUAGCCAUGCCGCGUGAGCGAUGAAGGCCUUAGGGUUGUAAAGCUCUUUCAGUGGGGAAGAUAAUGACUGUACCCACAGAAGAAGCCCCGGCUAACUCCGUG